UACGUAGGGGGCAAGCGUUGUCCGGAAUCAUUGGGCGUAAAGCGCGCGUAGGCGGCCCGGUAAGUCCGUUGUGAAAGUCAAAGGCUCAACCUUUGAACGCCGAUGGAUACUGCCGGGCUAGAGUCCGGAAGAGGCGAGUGGAAUUCCUGGUGUAGCGGUGGAAUGCGCAGAUAUCAGGAGGAACACCAAUGGCGAAGGCAGCACUCUGGGACGGUACUGACGCUGAGACGCGAAAGCGUGGGGAGCAAACAGG
rnacentral:rRNA from 1 species